rnacentral:lncRNA from 1 species
AUUUCCAGACAAUUGUCUAACAGGAAGAGGAUCAUAAAAUCCUAAGAUUGGCUAAUCAACCUCCCUGUUCUACAGAUGAAGAAACUCACACUCCCAGGACAAGUGACCUCUCAGGACCACACAGAAAGAGAGUUGAUGUAAUAAUUGUACUCUGUGGCUACAUGGGUGUGAACCAGAACGAGGCAGAAGGGAUCUAUUUUUCUAUUUAGUGCCAAUGAGCCCCCAUGGAUCUAUGCAGGGGCAGGGUGCUUUGUGCAGAUGAAGGUCGUGCCAGACAUGGUAAUGAAGGCCCUGAACAGAGGGAGAACCAUCAGGGACUGCUGUGUGAGCAAAGCGUGGACUUUCAUCCUGAAAAAUGAGUGCAUCCGUAACAACAUCCUCAAACAUAGACGGCUCUGAUUAGCGCUCCAGGAGCCCUCUCUCUAAAAACAUCUGAAAAUGCCUCCUUCUUCCCGGGGCUCACACGAAUGGGCUGCUGCAUUACCUAAUAGCCACCCAUGGCUUCACGAGGAGGGAUGCUCACAGCCCCCUGCAGAGCAGCCGCCUUGUUCCAGCGCCACAGGGAAGCGUCUGCCUUGACUUCCACCCACGCAGUGUCCGCUUCCACACAAUCACCCUGAACGGCAAAGGCUAAACACUUUGGUAAUC